AACGCACAUUGCGCCCCCUGGUAUUCCGGGGGGCAUGCCUGUUCGAGCGUCAUUUCAACCAAACCAGCCCCGCUGGGUGUUGGGCGUCGCGGUCCGCCGCGCGCCUCAAAGUCUUCGGCGGAAGCCGCCCGUUCCUCUGCGUGAUGCAUCGUCGUCGCUCGGGACACGGGGGUGAGCGCCCGGAAAUCGUCGGCGGAGACGCCGACUUCAGGUUGACCUCGGAUCAGGUAGGGAUACCCGCUGAACUUAA
rnacentral:misc_RNA from 2 species